AACGAACGUUGGCGGCGUGGAUUAGGCAUGCAAGUCGAACGAAUCCCACCUGGGUAACUGGGUGGGGGAAGUGGCGAAAGGGGCAGUAAGGCGUGGGUAACCUGCCCCGGAGUUGGGAAUAGCCUCUCUAACGAGAGGGUAAUACCCGAUGUCCUGGCGGAGGGGAUCUCUCUGUCAAGAAAGCUCAGGCGCUCCGGGAGGGGCCCACGUGGUAUUAGCUAGUUGGUGGGGUAACGGCCCACCAAGGCCAAGAUGCCUAGCAGGUGUGAGAGCACGACCUGCGCCACUGGCACUGGGACACUGGCCAGACUCCUACGGGAGGCUGCAGUCGAGGAUCUUCGGCAAUGGGCGCAAGCCUGACCGAGCGACGCCGCGUGUGCGAUGAAGGCCUUCGGGUUGUAAAGCACUGUCGAGGGGGAGAAAAACCGCAAGGUUUGAUCGACCCCUGGAGGAAGCACGGGCUAAGUUCGUGCCAGCCGCCGCAGUAAAAC
rnacentral:rRNA from 1 species